GUUCAGAGAACCAUUGAUGGUCUUUCCACCACUUUCAACAUAUUUUGAUGUGAAAAUAUUAAAUUCAGUUGAUAUGUCAGUUCCUAUGACUUUAUGAUGUCUAAAUAUGAAUUUGGAGCAAAGGUCAAAAUCUAGAACGUCCAAUUAACCUAUGACCUUGACCUCAAUUUCAAGGUCAUAGACUAAGGAUCUCAAACCUAAAGACACUAGUUCCUUAAUAUGUAUGGUUCAUGAGUAAUAUCACUUUACGCAUAAUUCUAAACAUAAGAGGGGCGAAAACUCCCAUUUAUUGUCUACGCACCCUUUCAACCAAAAUUUAUAAGUUACGACAUGUCGCAACUAACAAUUUAGUAAAAUAAUUUGUCGAUAAGUUAUACGGCUUUUGAAAAUAAGUGAAAAUAAGCCAAAAUCAAAAUUUAUAAUAUGACCUUGACCUUUGACCUUGACCUUAUUUUCAUUUUUUUGGACCAAGGACCUCAAAUCAAAAGACCCUAGGUCUCUAUCACUUAUGGUUUACCAGUUAGAAAUGCAAAUUCUUAUAUCAAACAUAAAAGGGGGGAUAACUCUCAUAUGGAAUCUAUAUACGGCUUCGGUCAAAAUAAAACAGAACAUCCUGAGGAUAUAACGAGCAAUUUGGAAAAAUAAAUUUGUCGGUUUCUUAUACGGUUGCGAAGCCUUAGAGAUAACAAGAAAAACAG
rnacentral:lncRNA from 1 species